CUUUGGCAACAGGUCUGCUAAACUUGGAGCGACACAGAGAAAAUCAGCAUGGCCCUUUGCAAGGAUGACGCACAAAUUUUCUGAAGCAUUCCGUAUUUAA
ensembl:snRNA U6 U6 spliceosomal RNA